AUUCUAUUCCACAGACGCCUCUGUAUUUUCGCCUCUAUAUCUUCCACUCCACGACGCCUCCCUCCGUCACUCUCUCUCUCUCUCUUCACUCCAUUUCCAGUUGAAUAAUCUUGCUUGCUGUCAAUCUUGCCAAAAACGGAAACCUUCCUGGUGAUGAGAAUUUGGGUAAUUUCAAACGAAUCUUGGAGGAGUUCAUUCAAAUCCAGUCGAUUGAUGAUCGAGGUAGGCCAAUCCAACUAACCCAAGAGGGGAUCAUGGACAUGUGGAUUAAGGCAGCUGGUGGCGUGCAUAAGGGGAGAGUCUACGGCCUUGGGUAAGAGUUUGGUCUCGGCCGUCGUACUUCUGAAUUCUCUGAUUCUUAUUCUUCGUCACAUAGUUCAGUUGAUUUGGAUGAGUUUGAAGAAUUGAAUAGGAAGGUAGUGAAGAUUACGGAGUUGUAUCUUCAAGAAAGGGCUGCAAGGGAAGAAGAGGCAAAGGUGAAGGGAGGAAGAAAUGAGGCAAAAGGACGAUGCAUUAAGACUUGUCACUAGUGAUGUUAAAAGUCUCAAGUAUCAAAUAAACUCCCUCUUAGCAUCUGGUGCAUUUUCUGUGCCCCGUUCUCCAGCAUCUGAUGAUAACUAAAGAGCAGUUUUUUUUAUUAGCUUGUCUUGGAUGGUACUUGGAUGUUGAAUAUUGAAUGUUGGAUUUUUUGAGUUUUUGUUCUAC